GGUUGGAGGUGGAAGUGCAGCAAUGCAUGGAGCUGACCAAUACUAAUCGGUCGAGGGCUUAUCCAAA
rnacentral:rRNA from 1 species